rnacentral:rRNA from 1 species
CGCGUAGGCGGCCGACUAAGUGUGUGGUGAAAGCCCGGGGCUCAACCCCGGGUCUGCCGUGCAAACUGGUUGGCUAGAGCACUGUAGAGGCAGGUGGAAUUCCGGGUGUAGCGGUGGAAUGCGUAGAGAUCCGGAAGAACACCGGUGGCGAAGGCGGCCUGCUGGGCAGUAGCUGACGCUGAGGCGCGACAGCGUGGGGAGCAAACAGGAUUAGAUACCCCUGUA